rnacentral:lncRNA from 1 species
UGGCUUGAGCAGCCUUACCCCUUCCUCUGUAGGGUUUCCUGCAUUCACGAAGCUCCUCGCUUUACUUAACAUCGCCUCUUCCAUCUUUUUGAAUAUUUUCAUUAGCCAACCUAUGGCUCCAUCUAAAGGACUGGAACCGAGUUCAGCUGUGGGGAGAGAGCAGUCUUUGGUUUUGGGGAGCAGUGAAUUCCAUGGCAGAGGGAAUGGUGUGGACUUUGAGCAAUCAGAACCCUUGAGAGGUGAAGAUGGGGCAGCCAAGGAAGUUCUCCUGCUCGAAAUAGCGAUCACUGUGCGUCCACGCCCAUGCCGUGCGUUUCUUGUCGUCUUGUUGUUGACAGUCUCUUGGGAAACAGCAAAUCUGGCUGGGAUCCCCGAGAGUCUUGUGGAUGCACUCGGCCAGAGAACACACUCGGUACUUCUCAGCCUUCCCUUGUGGAGCAUUUUCAGAGACAGCUCGGUGUACUCUUUAUUACUUAUUCUUCUUAUUGGCUUCUUCGCUUCUCCAUAGGAAGACUGAUUAAGCCGAGCUCCCCUGGAGUCAACACCUAGCUGCCCAGGUGUUUUUGUUGUUUUCCAUUCUUGUCUCAGACAUUUGAAGGACUCUUAACCUCCUGGGGCUGUGGAGGAGGGGGGGAACUGGCUUCCCAGGGCCUCUGUUGGUUUUAGGUGGCAGAAGGGGAAGCGGGCAUUGGGAGGAGAAGCAGGAGGGGGGAGGAGAAGCAGGAGGGGAGAGGAGAGGCUGCCAUUGACGAUGCCACCACCGAGGAUUUCCAAGGAUACCCACCCCUUCAGCCUCGAUGUACCAUUCGCUGUAGCUAUGGGCAAGCUUUCCAUCUGUUUUACAUGUGAGUGUUUCUUCUCUUCUGCAGACUGGUCUGCCACAUGGCCAGCACUCUUCACAUCCCGCACCCACGCAGCCUCUCCCUCAGGUCACUGGACACAGCAGGCACCAGGUAAAUGCUGAGUUGCUGAGGCCCACUGGCUUAGUUAGAAGCAGAAACCAGAGAACCUCCUCUACAUUUAGUUCCGUUAAUGCCGCAGGUGCUCAUCC